UCCUUCGGGACCGAGCGGCGGACGGGUUAGUAACGCGUGGGAACGUACCCAGAUCUACGGAAUAGCCUUUGGAAACGAAGAGUAAUACCGUAUACGCCCUUCGGGGGAAAGAUUUAUCGGAUUUGGAUCGGCCCGCGUUAGAUUAGAUAGUUGGUGGGGUAAUGGCCUACCAAGUCUACGAUCUAUAGCUGGUUUUAGAGGAUGAUCAGCAACACUGGGACUGAGACACGGCCCAGACUCCUACGGGAGGCAGCAGUGGGGAAUCUUAGACAAUGGGCGCAAGCCUGAUCUAGCCAUGCCGCGUGUGUGAUGAAGGCCUUAGGGUCGUAAAGCACUUUCGCCAGAGAUGAUAAUGACAGUAUCUGGUAAAGAAACCCCGGCUAACUCCGUGCCAGCAGCCGCGGUAAUACGGAGGGGGUUAGCGUUGUUCGGAAUUACUGGGCGUAAAGCGCGCGUAGGCGGGUUAUUAAGUUAGAGGUGAAAUCCCAGGGCUCAACCCUGGAACUGCCUUUAAUACUGGUAACCUAGAGUUCGAGAGAGGUGAGUGGAAUUCCAAGUGUAGAGGUGAAAUUCGUAGAUAUUUGGAGGAACACCAGUGGCGAAGGCGGCUCACUGGCUCGAUACUGACG
rnacentral:rRNA from 1 species